rnacentral:lncRNA from 1 species
CGAUGUUUAACAACUCUCAUACCUUUACCCUCUCUCACAGAUUGAUCUAGCUAUCGAUCCCCCAUCGAUGCCUUCGGUGGCAACGCCUUCUUCUUCUACCCUUUGUUGCCUUUCCUCUCUCCCCCUAGUGACCGAUCCCUUGAGUUGUCCCCAGAACUCAUCGAUGGCUUCAGCGGUCGAUCUCUGGUUCAGGAUUUGAAGACUCGGUGGUUGUUCCUCUUCGUUUCCUCCAAUUUCAGUUCUAACAAACCUCGUCGGCGUCGGAGCGUACACCGAGUUUAUCCCGGCUCUGGUGUGUUCUCCUUAGCGGUUGGCUACAUAUGUAUCUUUAAAAUCACAUUAGUUGUUAUGUAUGAUCCUUCCACAAUCAUAGCAUAAAGAAGAAGGAAGCUUCUCAAACUUGUAAUUCACCCACUCAGCUUCUACAUCAUCACUUGCGCAGAAGCCACAAGGAAGAGGUGCAUCGAGUUUGGUUGAAACCCUAGCGCGGAUGAAUCUACCCCACAAAGUUGGGUCAAAUCCAUUCUCAUCGAUGUGAAUCAACGCUGGUAAUUGAGCUUCAAGGAUGGCCGAUAGAUCGGCUUUAGUUUUCCACUCUUGUGGUAAGUCGUGGACUUGGAUCCACAUGUCACAAUGGGAAACUCUAUUUGACGCCUCCCACUUUUUCAGCACCAGGAGAGAAUCCGAAAGUUUCCAUGGUCGCCCAUUACAUGCUUUCUCCAGGUCUCUUUUGUUCUGGAAAGUAAGGAUGAAGGUGUUGCAUGCAACAUCACUCACCCUGAGGCCUUCGCACUCCAACCAAGCUGUGUCAAGGAUGCUCUUCAUGGGUCCGGCGUAAAUGCGUCGGGAGGUGAUCAUUUUCCAGGCAAGCAGUUGGAGUCCUCCCGAUCCUGAAAUCUUCGAUUUGUGCUUCACCAAUGGUUCUUCGCAGCUCCGCUCUUUGGUCUUCCUCACAAGCUCAGACAAAUCCAUGGUGUGACAGAUUGAGGUUUGCAAGCAGGUAAGUGUGUUGUUUUUUUUUCGGUUUCUGGUAUUAGGAUUAAGCCUAGGAGGAGUUUUUGUCUAUAUAUUCUGCUCCAUUUCCUUUGGUCAUUUAUUAUCCUCAAUCUACUCUCUGAACUUGGUAUUAAGGUGUAUCCACUUUGUGUGAUUUGCCAUAUGCCUAGAGCCCCUCCCAGACACCCUUUAGUCACCUGUUUUUUCGUAGGGAAAGAGCUGUGGAGCCUGAGAUUACUCUGUUUCAAUUUAAUAUCCUUGGAUGUGAAGUAGCUUGGGUGAUUUCUGGUGUAGUUGGCUUUAUAAAUGCUCCCAGGAACUUCUUUCAUACGACAUUUAAUUCGUUUUAGGACAGGUGCUCCCUCUUUUCUAAAUGUUUUUCCAUUAGUGUUCUCUUUAAUGCUUCCUUGUUCUGGGUUAUUCACCAAAUAAAAAUACUUGCUUUUAUGGUUGAUGUAGCUGCAUUUGUUGAGUAUAUUUAUUUUAUUGGCACUCAGGGCCUGGAGACAUCCUUGAAGGAUCAGAGGAGGGUCAUUACGAUACAAUCCAUGACGGACCGAAGAGAAAGAUCCAUUGCGGAUCGGAUCUGAUUCAAAAAGAAUCCUAGCGAAGCAUGAAGCUUCAAAGAGUUGAGAGCACAUAAACGGCUCUUUUUUGGAAAAACUCGUUCCUAAAAGGAAUGUUAUGGUGCAUGCGGUCGCAAGAAAGUUACAGGAUGGACACCAAUCCUUUGAAUUUUAAAUAGCAAUGAAAUCAUGCCCUAAUUGUCAAUUUAGUUAGAAAAAAAGUAUAUUUAUAUUGGCAAGCAUGAUGAGGUGUGGUCUAGUGCUUAAAAAUAUUUAUAUUGUAGAUUGAUCGUAUACGAAUCGAUUAACGAAGACGAUAAAAAUAUUGUUGGUACAAGUGUGAGAACUUAAAGCUAUGUGAUACUGUUAUUCGUGUGUGAGAUUGAGAUAUGAUCAUGAGUUGGCUUCGAUGUCGGUUCAUAUCUUACUAAUGACAACAUUGCUGUUUUUUAUUCAUACGUGUGAGGUUGUGAUACACAAAGUUAGAAAAAUACAACUGA